rnacentral:tRNA from 1 species
GCCCAGGUGGCGGAAUGGCAGACGCGGCGGACUUAAAAUCCGCUUCCCGUUUUGGGAGUGAAGGUUCGAGUCCUUUCCUGGGCACCA